GGUGUGUGUGUGGGUGUCGACCGUAGCAAGAUAAGAGAGGGGAAAACCCUCAAGCUUAACAAAUUCAGCAAAUUGAAGAUGAUUCAAGGACAAAUUCGAAUGCAUGUCUUUAAUUUCUCAAUCAUCUAAGUAUCCUCAACCCUAGUGUGCGUAUGUAAUGGAUAUUGUGAAAGCUAAACGUGAAAUGUUUCACCCUAUGGGCGAAGAAAGAAGAAGGUACAAGUCAAUCCAAGGCGCUAGGAAAGCGAGAUCACGGUAAAUAUCAUCCUUUAUAAUGGCGAGCCUAGAUCGAACACACUACAACUCAUGCCCAAAAAUGCGCUUCCGUAAAAGUUUUUGUGUCAAAUGGGUCAAAUCUCUCUUUUGGUUUGUAAGAUGUUCCUUUGUAUUUAAGGUCAGUUGUAAAUAAAUUAGUUGAUGGUUAUGGUUAGUUAGUUUUGAACUAAUGUAGUUUAAAAGUUAUGAUGGUCGUAAAUGUCAUAACUAGCCGUAAAGGGUAUUUUCAUGAAAUUGUAUGUGCCAAAAUGAAAGUUUUAAAUUUUU
rnacentral:lncRNA from 1 species